GCUUCCUAAGGAACUUCAGCCUUUCUCCAGCAACCCUCACAUCUAUUUGACUUUCCAAGCUAAUAUCAUGGACUUCUGAUAUUUCACAUCCAACGCUUCCUUUUAUCAGACAUAACUUAAACCACUUGGAUAUCCUGGGAGACAGUGCAGAAAAAUUUAUUUAGCAUGUCUUACAUUUGUAGCACAAUUUGGGGAACUGUAGGAUGAUACAAAACUUGAAAGAUUUAGUUUAAGAGGCAGAAGACAUAGCGACGGACCUCAUGAACUGCGAACUCAAUGCUGCCAGCUCUGAGCAAGUGUUCCCCGGUGACUCCUCAGCUUUUCAUCCAGCGAGCAGUUGCUGAAGCAUUCUGAGCCCAGGACUGACUGAUUAGACCUGCUGUUUCUUCUGGAGAUCUCUGCGGAGUAGUGCCAGCAUGGGGGAUGGCAGGAAACUAUAGCACCAGAUUCAAUGCAGGGAUUGCCCCUGGAAACCAAAGCCACCAGCAAGGUGGGAAGCUGAAACGAAGUGCCAAGACCAGGAGAAAACAGUAUGAGAGAGAGAGAGAGAGAGAGAGAAUCAAAGCCACUUUUUUGUUUUUUAAAUCAUCACUUUUAAAAUUCAAGCAGGGACCCCCCCCCCCCAAGACUAACUUAGGAACCCAGCGGAGUAGAGAAUGAGAAACAGACUUGGGGGGAUUGUUGAAAGCCCUUUGUAUCUGAAGUUGGGCUCUGUUAUCAAAGUAGGGAUUUGGUGGCAGGAUGAAGACUUGCAUCCUCAUGGUUGUAGGAGACAGGCUAAUAAGAGUCAUCAACAGUUCUUCCAAGACUUCUUGGCCAUUGAGGAGCUUAGAAAAUUCCUGAGCAGAAUCUCAACGAGCCUACACUUUCUUUCCUAGCUACUCUGCAAUGGCUACGUGGUACCGAUAGAGAAUUUAUCAAGUUGAUAACUGAUAUCAGUGCGUCAAAGAACAGCAUCAAGAAAGUAAAAAGACAACGUGCAGAAUAAGAGAAAAUUUUGGCAAUCAUAUAGCUGAAAAGGGCUUAAUGAACUACAUAAACAACAAAAAGACAAACAGCCCAAUAUAAAAAGUGGGCCAAAGACUUGAAUAGAUAUUUCUUUUUUUGAAAUUAGUGUCUAUUUUUCAUUUUUUUUUAUUUGAAAAUCAGAGAGAGAGAAUUCUUCCCAAAUGCUUGCUACAGCCAGGGUUAGGCCAGGCAAAAGCCAUGAACCUGGAACUAAACCCACAUUUUCCACUUGGGUGACAGGGACCCAAGUACCCCAGCCAUCAUUUGCGGCCUCCCAGGAUCUGCAGCAGCAGGAAGCUGGGCCAGAACAGAGGAGCCAAGACUGGAACCAGGCACUCCAAUAGGAGAUGUGAGCAUAUCGAGUGGUGACGUAACCACUGCACAAACACCCACCCUGAACAGACAUUUCCCCAGAGACGGUAUUCAAAGAGUUCAUCAGUUCAGGAGAUACGCAACAUCACUGGAGAAACACAAGUCAGAACCACAAGAUUCCACUUCACAUCACACAUCAGGUGGGUGAAACUGGAACUAUCACACGUUGCCAGGAGAAAUGUACCUUGGCGCAGCCAUUGUGGACGACAGUUUGGAGUUUCCUUAAGAAGUGAAACAUGGAGUUGCUAAGCAAUCGAGCAAUUCCACUCCCAGAGUUAUACCCAAAAGACCUGAAAACAGGAACUCAAACAGGUACUUGUUUUGGAAAUAGUAGCAUUAUUUAUUAUAUCCAAAAGGUGGCAACAAUUCAAGUGUGUGUCUACAGAUGCAUCGAUAAACUGUGGAAUACACAUACAAGGAUUGCAACAUAGUAAGAAAAAAAAUAUUUACCCAUUUCCUGACACACAGCUCCCAAAACCCUUGGAAUCUCAGAAGUGAUGUGUCCAUUUAUUUAUUUGAGAGACAGAUAAAGAACAGACAAACAAAGCUUUCAUCUGCUGGUUCAUUCCUCAGAUGCCUGAAAUGGCCUGUACAGGGCUGGGCCUGGGGAAGCCAAGAGCCAAAAACUCAGCCUAGGUCUCCCAUGUGGGUGGCAGGAACUCAAGUCGCCAUCCCUGCUCCUUCUAGGGAUCUACCUUAGCCGGAAGCGGCAGUCAGGAGCUGGAGCCAGGUGGUGGGGAUGGAAUCCAGGCCCUCUUGUGUGGAUCCUGGUAUUCAGAAGUCUAGGCUACAUGUGUCUUUUGUAUGCUCAUGAGAUGACUGGGGCUGGGGGCUCCUGGAUGGCCCCUGAUGGAGGCUGCUCGCCAAGGGAAGCGACUCUGCGGUUUGAGCUGGAACUUUCAGCCCGGACCUCUGUGGCAGGGGAGAAGGGCUGGAGGUUGAAUGAUGCAAUCAACCAUGCUUCCUAGUGAAGCCGCCACAAAAACCCCAGAGGGCAAGGCUUGGAGAGCUUCCAGGUUGCUAAAUCCCUGAGAUUCCCGGAGGGUGACACCCUGGAGGGAGCACCCAGGUCUCUUCCAUUCGGUUAUUCCUGCAUCGCAGCCUUCACGACAAACUGACACGCGGGGGUGAAGUGUUUCCUGAGUUUUGUGAGCUGGUGUAGCAAAUGAUACAGCCAGGGGAGGAUUGGAGGGAACCUCACGUCAGGAGUGCCGGUGACAACUGGGGACUUAGGGCGGGGGAGAGGGAAUGGGGAGCAGGUGCUUCGCAGGCACAGUUUCAGUUUGGGCAGAUGAACGUGGUUUGGAAAUAGGUAAAUGCUGAUGGUUGUGCAACCCUGCAGAAAUACUUAGCGUUGCUUCCUGAAUUGUACACUUCAGAGAGGUUAAGACAGCAGCAAAUUGUAUGUUAUGUUUGCUUUACCACAGUUUUAAGGCUUCCUUAUGUAACAUUCCCCAGACCACUGUACGCUUUAAAUGAGUGAAUUGUAUGGUAUGUAAAUCCCAUCUCAAUAAAGCUGCUAAAAACAGAGAUUUAAAGCAGAGAUCGAUUUGAUGAAAGGUCAGCCGGCUCCGAGCUGUGCAGCAUGGGACCCGCCAGAGGGGGCGCACUCC